rnacentral:rRNA from 1 species
CCUACGGGCGGCAGCAGUGGGGAAUAUUGGACAAUGGGCGAAAGCCUGAUCCAGCCAUGCCGCGUGUGUGAAGAAGGCCUUCGGGUUGUAAAGCACUUUCAGUGGGGAAGAAAGCCUUGGGGCUAAUACCCUCGAGGAAGGACAUCACCCACAGAAGAAGCACCGGCUAACUCCGUGCCAGCAGCCGCGGUAAUACGGAGGGUGCGAGCGUUAAUCGGAAUUACUGGGCGUAAAGCGCGCGUAGGCGGUCUGAUAAGCCGGUUGUGAAAGCCCCGGGCUCAACAUGGGAACGGCAUCCGGAACUGUCAGGCUAGAGUGCAGGAGAGGAAGGUAGAAUUCCCGGUGUAGCGGUGAAAUGCGUAGAGAUCGGGAGGAAUACCAGUGGCGAAGGCGGCCUUCUGGACUGACACUGACGCUGAGGUGCGAAAGCGUGGGUAGCAAACAGGAUUAGAUACCCGGGUAGUC